rnacentral:lncRNA from 1 species
AAUCAUCCAACAUCUGCAGGGAUAGCACAAGGCAGGCUCAGUGUGACGGCUGUGUCAUCGUGCAGCAGACAGAUGCUGAGCAGAGCACAGCAGGGCCAGGACGUUCUGACCAGGGGGAGGUGGAGAGUGCACACGAGAUAAGGCACAGCUGCAGGACGGAGCAUGAGACCCAGCACGUGCAACAGCUGCAAGAAAUCCUGCCUGCCUGUCGGCAUAGAAAAGCACACAAUCAGCCCGAAAGGAACACGUUGGCCAUAGACGAC